GAUGAACGCUGGCGGCGUGCCUAAUACAUGCAAGUCGAGCGAACAGACGAGGAGCUUGCUCCUCUGACGUUAGCGGCGGACGGGUGAGUAACACGUGGAUAACCUACCUAUAAGACUGGGAUAACUUCGGGAAACCGGAGCUAAUACCGGAUAAUAUAUUGAACCGCAUGGUUCAAUAGUGAAAGACGGUUUUGCUGUCACUUAUAGAUGGAUCCGCGCCGCAUUAGCUAGUUGGUAAGGUAACGGCUUACCAAGGCAACGAUGCGUAGCCGACCUGAGAGGGUGAUCGGCCACACUGGAACUGAGACACGGUCCAGACUCCUACGGGAGGCAGCAGUAGGGAAUCUUCCGCAAUGGGCGAAAGCCUUACGGAGCAACGCCGCGUGAGUGAUGAAGGUCUUCGGAUCGUAAAACUCUGUUAUUAGGGAAGAACAAAUGUGUAAGUAACUAUGCACGUCCUGACGGUACCUAAUCAGAAAGCCACGGCUAACUACGUG
rnacentral:rRNA from 1 species